rnacentral:rRNA from 1 species
UACGUAGGGUGCAAGCGUUGUCCGGAAUUAUUGGGCGUAAAGAGCUCGUAGGCGGUCUGUUGCGUCCGCUGUGAAAACUCGGGGCUUAACCCCGAGCCUGCAGUGGAUACGGGCAGACUAGAGGUAGGUAGGGGAGAAUGGAAUUCCCGGUGUAGCGGUGAAAUGCGCAGAUAUCGGGAGGAACACCGGUGGCGAAGGCGGCGUCCUGGCCUGCGACUGACGCUGUGGCGCGAAAGCGUGGGGAGCGAACAGG